rnacentral:lncRNA from 1 species
ACCGCCUCCAGUUCCAUAAAUACCCUCACACAAAUCAGCUAUUUCCACGGGAAAACUUGGGUCCUGUCCUGCAUACCAAGCAUUCACCAAUGGAUUGGUCGCCAGCUCCGCAAUCUCAUGAGCAAUCACACUUAUCAUCCCAUCAACACCCACAUCACCGUUCGGUGACUUUAGUGCCUUCAACCCAGGUAUAUACUUAGGCACGGAAAACGGAUAAGCGCACACACCAGGACACAGCUUUUCACUGUUACCUACCCAAGCAUAAGGCAACGUGUACCCUACGAUCGACGGAAAUGUAAAAUAAUGAAACCCACAAACCUGCCCGCAAAAAUCCUGAACGUACACGUCAUCGGAAGUCAACAACAGAUACAAACCGUUCUUCGGGUUGGUGGGCAGCGGCUUAGAUUUGGCCGUGACGGCACUCUUGAUCACCGACUGUAUAGACAACCUCGUUAAAGACU